rnacentral:lncRNA from 1 species
CUUCCUAAGUCACGAAUUUGAUGUUCAGUAGUUGUCCUUUGUUGAUGUGGUUCAUAAGUGUUUCUCGUUUCUUGUUUUUUAUAUAGAUUAGACCGUUAGUUUUCCUGUUUGAAUGGUUUUACACUAGUAAUUUUUGGGGCCCUUUAUAGCUUGCAGAGCGGUGUGAGCCAAGGUUCCGUGUUGAAGACCGUACUAUAACCUAUAAUGGUUUACUUAUAAAUUGUGACUUGGUUGGAGAGUUGUCUCAUUGGCACUUAUACCACAUCUUCAUAUAUCUAUAUACGGCAAUACUAUUUGGGUUGGACAGAUCAUUCACACAUCCUACAGCUCAUCAGUCUUACAAAAGUCAGACUAUUAAAGAGCGUAUGGUACUUUGACAAGUUAUUGCACAGCUUUCAACAAUGAGAAGUAAAUACCUUAGUUACCUAUACCUUUUUAUCUUACAUUUGUACUAGUAUUCAGAAUAUUUUAAGUCUAUAAUAUAAAAUUAUAUUCUUUUUUAU